CUUUCAUUCCCCCGGCAUUCAGCCCUGUGAUUCGAGCAGGAAACAUGCUCCAAUUAACCCCCCGGCGUUAACGAAGCCCCAGCACGGCCGGGGCUGCCCGCCGGGUCCAGGGUCCGUCCCUGCAGCGGUGCUCGAUAGGGAAACCCCCCUUACAGCCCACCUGCGCUCCCUGUAAUCCCUGCCUGGAAAUUAUUUAUAUUCCAUAUAUCGCUAAAAUAUUAUCACUAUUAUAAUUAUAAAAAAUCAUACUAAUUAUUAAAUUAUAGUAAUUAUUUAUCCCGUUCCUGAUUUAUCCUCCCGGCUGGGACAACCACCUGUGAGCCCCCCUCUGUGCCUGCAGCAACUCGCGUUCGCGGGUGUUUUUACGGGGUUGAUACACCGUUCUCRCGGCUGUUGGCACCAAGCCGCUGCCUCGAUGCUGCUUGGGGGUGAAUCAUCCUCCAGCCGAGCAGCCCCAGGUCCCACCUGCCCCRAAUUAUUUAGCAAUAACGAAUGAUUUAUAAGUAGUUUGGCCCAAGGAGGUUUCAGGUGUGUUGGCAGCACGAUGGUGGCUGGUGGCUGGCUGCUGCUUCGCAGCAUCUUUUGGCUGCUGGGAGGUAGGAGCGGAGCUCUCCUCCGCCCUGCCGAGGAUUCGGGGGUCGCACGAAGCUUUUUUGCUCCRUUGUUUUGGCCGCCGCGGCCCGGCUCAGCCUCUGGUCCCCUUGCAGGUGGCCCCGGGGACGCGUGGGGCACGGGGACCCCCCAGCGUGAUGGUGGCCCGUGGGGCGAUGACAUUCUCAGCAUCAACGGAGCACUCGAGGUGCCCAACAGCAGCUUCCUCCUCGAAGGGGACAUCGUCCGGGCGGGCACCUCCAGAGCGCUCGCGUCCGCCAACGCCAAGUGGCCCAAGAGGAGAGGCGUCGUCCACAUCCCCUACGCCGUGGCCGGCCGAUAYGGUAGGUGGGAGCGGAGGUGGCUCCCGCGGGGACGUGCCGCGGCCGGGUGCCGAGCCG
rnacentral:lncRNA from 1 species